GAUGAACGCUGGCGGCGUGCCUAAUACAUGCAAGUCGAGCGAACGGACGAGAAGCUUUUUUCUCUUAUGUUAGCGGCGGACGGGUGAGUAACACGUGGAUAACCUACCUAUAAGACUGGGAUAACUUCGGGAAACCGGAGCUAAUACCGGAUAAUAUUUUGAACCGCAUGGUUCAAAAGUGAAAGACGGUCUUGCUGUCACUUAUAGAUGGAUCCGCGCUGCAUUAGCUAGUUGGUAAGGUAACGGCUUAGCAAGGCAACGAUGCAUAGCCGACCUGAGAGGGUGAUCUGCCACGCUGGAGCUGAGACACGGUCCAGACUCCUACGAGAGGCAGCAGUUGGGAAUCUGCCGCGAUGGGCGGAAGAAUGACGGAGCAUCGCCGCGUGCGUGAUGCAGGUCUUCGGAUCGUAAAACUCUGUUAUUAGGGAAGAACAUUUGUGUAAGUAACUGUGCACAUCUUGACGGUACCUACUCAGAAAGCCACGGCUAACUACGUG
rnacentral:rRNA from 1 species